GGGGCUGUACCGGUUUUGACAGCAUAGGUCUUUGAAAGUGUAAGCAUGCCGUGCGUUGGAUAAUUAGCACGUAAAUCUGAAUAUUCAAACAUUAAAUGGCAAUACUCAGUAUGCCAUGGCUGCCUAAUCAGUGAUUAGUUAGUCAUUUGGGCCGCCGGGCCGGUUGUUCUGUUACCAUGCCCCGCCGCCGACUCAAAAACAAAACAGGAUGCUGCUGCUGAAGGCUGUGACAGUAGCAUAAGACUAUCCAGCUAAGCAAUAAAUUGGUUUGUUCAUUUCCGGUUUAUUGCCGACAAGCAAUAAUGAAAUAAGCAUGUAGAAAGCUUUUGGAGAAUAUGUUUGGACGCGGGUUCGAAUCCCGCCAGCUCCACGA
rfam:Sphingobacteriales bacterium 46-32 scnpilot_p_inoc_scaffold_45, whole genome shotgun sequence.